CCCGAAUUUAAAAGAGCUAUAUUUAUAGUAGUUUUAUGUUGAAUAAUGAUCUAUAAUGUAAAUAUAGAUGUGAAACGCUAGUCGAUUUUAAAUAUAUCUGGUUCCUCAAGAAAAAAAUUUAAUUUUUUAUGUGGUAUUUUGAGCUUCUAGUCAUUGAAGUGAUUGAAAAAUGUAUUAAUAGAUAAGGGGAUGAGCUUUUAUUUAGACUUAGUAUAAUGGCAUUGGUUUAAAUAGUUGGUAGGAAUAGAAGUUUCUAUUGUGUGUUAAAACAGAUUAUUUGUUCAGAAUGAUUUUUAUUUGAGCUUAAUUUACUUUGGUAUUGAGGUAAUGUUAAUAAUGAGGUUAACGGGUAAUAAUGAUAGUAUUAGUAUAGAUAGAUGUAGUUGUAUUGUUUAUUUUGCAAGGUUGAUUUAAGGAACUCGGCAAAUAUGGUUUUCACCUGUUUAUUAAAAACAUGGCCUUUUGAUUAUAAUUUAAGGUCUGGCCUGCUCAAUGAGGUAUUAAAUAGCCGCGGUAUUUUGACCGUGCUAAGGUAGCAUAAUCACUAGUUUUUUAAUUGAAAGCUGGAAUGAAAGGUUUGAUGAGAAACCAGCUGUCUCUGGUUAAUUUGUAUAGAACUUUAUUUUUAAGUAAAAAAGCUUAAAUUUUCAUCGAAGACGAGAAGACCCUAUAGAGUUUUAUAACGUUGUUUGUGUUGGGUGCAUAGGGUUUUAUACAUUUAAUAUGAGCGGUUGUUUUGUUGGGGUGACAGAAAAAUUUAAAGAACUUUUUUUAUGUAAAUUACAUUUAUUUAUGGGCCUAUGAUCCUGAAAUUUAGAUUAUAAGAGAAAAUUACCUUAGGGAUAACAGCGUAAUCUUUUUUUAGAGUUCUAAUCGAUAAAAAGGGUUGCGACCUCGAUGUUGGAUUAAAAUUAAUUUGUGGUGCAGAAGCUACGAAAUUAAGUCUGUUCGACUUUUAAAAUUUUACAUGAUCUGAGUUUAGACCGGCGUGAGCCAGGUCGGUUUCUAUCUCGAUGAGAUUGAUAUUACUUUAGUACGAAAGGACCAAGUAAU
rnacentral:rRNA from 1 species